GCCGGCGUAACAUGGCGCCCUGCGUAGCGCUGGGACAGAGUCUAGUUGAUGGUUUCCUCGUACGGUGUACAGUAAUAUCACAAGUUUACGUUAGAGAAAUACAGAUCGGCGGCUCCAUAGUGUAACCGGAUCCGGUAUAUUCUUCACAGUGUUUACUGGGAAUGUCCGAGGUUUCUUCCCUUCCAUCCAAUAAACGUAAAAGUGAUCUGAGGGUACAAUGAGCUCUUCUUUGGAAAUGCUGAAUAUUCUGGCUUGUGGAGGGACAGGACCCACAGUCCCAAGGUUCAAACCUGAGUCUUCACACCUAAGCAGGUAUCCGUCUUAGAAGUGAAGAUUCCCUCCAGGAAAGCCUCAGGGGGCAUCCACUUUACAGGCAACAUAGCCCUCCCUCCUUUACGGUAAUAGCUUGCACUGGAAAACAGCAUAACAUGUAUAGCAAAUAAAUAGGAACGUCUGCACCAA